GGGAGGUAGUGACAAUAAAUAACAAUACAGGGUUCUUUUGGAUCUUGUAAUUGGAAUGAGUACAAUUUAAAUCUCUUAACGAGGAACAAUUGGAGGGCAAGUCUGGUGCCAGCAGCCGCGGUAAUUCCAGCUCCAAUAGCGUAUAUUAAAGUUGUUGCAGUUAAAAAGCUCGUAGUUGAAUUUCGGGAUCAAUAUAUCGGUCGUGCCAUCGGUACGUACUGGUAUGAUUGGUUUCUCCUUUCUGACGAACCAUGAUGUCAUUAAUUUGGUGUCAUGGGAAGUUAGGACUGUUACUUUGAAAAAUUAGAGUGUUUAAAGCAGGCUUUAGCUUGAAUACAUUAGCAUGGAAUAAUGAAAUAGGACGUUCGAACCUAUUUUGUUGGUUUCUAGGAUCAACGUAAUGAUUAAUAGGGAUAGUUGGG
rnacentral:rRNA from 1 species